rnacentral:rRNA from 1 species
AUGGAAGAGCAGAUCGUGGCGCUCGCAAAGGUGGUUAACGAUGCACGCACCUCCCUCAACGCGAUCCAACAAUCGCUCGAGAUGUGGAGGCCGACGGUGACCAACCUACAACAACAAUUGGAUCGGGGACGCGGUGGUGCGGCCUACGUCGACAAAUCCCACCGGCGACGCAAGGCACAACGACCCCGAUGGCCACGGCGAGAUCAUCGACACCGGGGGGGCUCGGCUCAUAGGGUGGUCCCCACCUUGACGCCGCUUCCGGUCAAAGGUGCGUACCAAAUCUCCCCUCUCAAAAUCCCUAUUGCUACUCACGUCCAUCGGGGUAGAGAAUUGGAGUACAGAUCACCACAUCCUCCGCACUCCAAUUGGGCCCUUCUCAAACUUGAUUUCCCACAAUUCGAGGGCGAGAACCCUCAAUUUCGAAAGACUAGAUGUGCGAAGAAGUACUUUGAUGUGUACGGUGUGCAACUGGGUCUUUGGUUCACGGAGCGCGCAACACCCCCGUUCACACGGGCGACACUUUGUGCUGCUCUGUGCGCCAAAUUCGGCUACGAGCAGUAUCAAACACAAUGGCACCUGAGCCGCCAUGUCUCACGAACCGACGAAACGGCCCGCCGCCCCCUUCCCCGUAGCCGGCGGAUUUCGCCGGCCGCUUCUCCGGUGACGACGAGACCAGUUGAAGGGAGAAGGGAUCUCAGCGCGGUCGAUCUAGGGUUUCCGGUGUCGCCAGGAGGAGGGGGACCUGCAUGUUUUCGAAUCCCAGAGUUCCACUCUAGGAAGGAAAUCUAUCCCCACUCCACGUGCUGA